rnacentral:lncRNA from 1 species
UAGAAAUGAGAGAAAUCUCUCAUUUACCCUAAUACAUAGCCUAUUGGGUUGCAAAAUUGCAGCUAAACCCCUCAACUUUCCACUCUGUGCACUGCCUGGACUGGGCAUUCCGCGCGGGCAGAGACCGGUCUCCCCGAGCAGGGACCGGUUCCUGAACGUCCACCCUGCGCAGCCAGAGCUGCUGCGCGCAGUGCAACCGGUCUCUCCUUGUGGGACCGGUCUCUGGGGGACCGGUCUCUCAGGCAGAGACCGGUUCCCGAGAGCUAUCCUUCCAGGACUUAGCCGAUUUUUCGGCUGUCUCAUUUCAUACAUGUUCGGGGACCGGUCUCUCCCUUUAGGGACCGGUCCCCGAGAGCUGAAAAUCUGCAGUUUUGCAGAAUUGAUUCUCUAGCUCUCGAAAACCUUCCACAACUCACUUUUAAUCAUUUUAACACCUUCGGACUUUCCGAAGUGUACUAUCCUCGCACUUUGGUCAAUUUGACUAAAGUUCGAUACUUUUAUUUUCCGAAUUUUCGGUAUAUUACAUUCUCCACCCCUUAAAAUAAUUUCGUCCGCGAAAUUACGCAUACCUUAACUCGUCGACUCGAAUAGAUGCGGGUACUCUUUCCGCAUUGCCUCCUCGAGCUCCCA